CUCUGAAUUGCUAAACUACACAUCGGCUCGAUGCUCUGGUGGUGUAGCUGCUCACAUGCCCUUGAUCCAAUCACUUGUGACCCAACAAGUUUUGAAUCUCAGGGAGCAGCUUAAGGAUUCCUCGAAGGUUAGCCUCAGGGUUCAGUAUCCUCAUAACUUUGAAAACAUUUCAAGAGAGGACCUCAGGGAAUUUAAGCAAACCAGAUAUGCUGUCGGAGAUGUUUGAUAGAUGCAGAAUUACUGCAUUAGUCCUAGGUAAUGAAGUGACACUAAAAAUUCUUUACAUGAAGUUCGUUGAGGUGACGAGUCCAUUUCCUUAAUGAAGUAGAUAUAUGCACUCGCCAUUCACAGCUUUAGAAGUGACGAAACUUGGGAUUGGCGCCCUUCAGAAGCUUCUUAUAUUGUAUCCGAGCUAUAUCAAGUUAUGUUUCGAUUGUUGAAGCUGAAGUAAUGCCUCAGGUAAUGGCGUUUCUUCCAAAACUCCCUCUUCAACCUCGAUUACUUCAGAGUUCAGACAGUUGACUUGUUUUCCAUUUGGCACCCUUAUCAGUGUGCUUGACAAUCGGAGCGUAUUCUAAAUGGCUUGAUGCUUCACCAAAUGGGCUCCCAGUUUUGCUCUCAAUGAUAGAGAGAUUCUCAUGAGUGGCAUGAGGUGCCUCUGAAUAUCCUGCAGCACCUGCAGCUUUGGCCGGCACAUCUGUGAUGGAUCUUAUUUGGGGGCAAUGGUGAAGUUUAUGAGAGCUAGAGAUGCUGCUCAAGCUGAAGCUCUAGCAUUGCUUGAAGCUGCAAACUGGAUGAUCAAGAAUAAAGCUACCCAUAUAAUGGUGGAAGGAGAUUGCAAGUCUGUCAUAGAGGCUGCAACCUCUAAGUUUGCUUAUUCUAAAUGGCAAGACCAUAACAUCCUUCCGGAUAUAAGUUGAAAACCAGAAGUAAUUAGAGUAGUCGAAUGUGUCCAUGUUGCAAGGUCAUGUUAUGAAGCUGCUGAUGCUCUUGCUAAGUGUGCAGAAUUUUUUAGACUGUCAAACCUGGGAUAUCACUCCUCCAAGGUUCAAUAAAUCUGUCAUGUUAUGGGGCUACCCUUCUCCCAAAAGGAGCUUUACUAGUCAGUGCCAUACAUGGGAGUAUGGUGUUUACAGAUGAUUUCGACCAUUUUCAUGGACAAACUUGCGCGAUAUGUUUGGAUGACUUAUUUAUGGGCAGUGAUGUUCUCAUGACAUGGUGCGAACGUGCAUUUCACUCUAGAUGUUUCAUACCUUGGUUCAACAAGGUUGGUACUUGCCCGGUAUGCCGCUCUCUUUUGAGACUAUAUAACUAGAAGAAUGCCGGCAGAUCUAGCUCAUUUACAACAAUUAGCAAAAUAUAUAAAUAGAUGAAAACACAUAUAUUUCAAGAAAAGUGAUACUUUCACUUUUCAAGGAUAAGUAUUACACAGCUCGUUUAUUCUUAUUUGAUUCGUUGUAGAUUAACAAAAGCAAAAAUAAGCUCGACUUUGUUACUGUAAUAUCCUGAGUUCUAAGUUCAAGUGCAACAGUGCCAAAUUCAUAAAAUUGCUUUAUAGCUGCAA